rnacentral:rRNA from 1 species
AGAGUUUGAUCCUGGCUCAGGAUGAACGCUAGCGGCAGGCCUAACACAUGCAAGUCGAACGGUAACAGGAAUUAGCUUGCUAAUUUGCUGACGAGUGGCGCACGGGUGCGUAACGCGUAUACAAUCUACCUUUUGCUGAGGGAUAGCCCAGAGAAAUUUGGAUUAAUACCUCAUGGUAUUAUUGAUAGGCAUCUAUUAAUAAUUAAAGGUUACGGCAAAAGAUGAGUAUGCGUCCCAUUAGCUAGUUGGUGAAGUAACGGUUCACCAAGGCAACGAUGGGUAGGGGUCCUGAGAGGGAGAUCCCCCACACUGGUACUGAGACACGGACCAGACUCCUACGGGAGGCAGCAGUGAGGAAUAUUGGACAAUGGAGGCAACUCUGAUCCAGCCAUGCCGCGUGCAGGAAGACUGCCCUAUGGGUUGUAAACUGCUUUUAUACAGGAAGAAACACUCCCUCGUGAGGGAGCUUGACGGUACUGUAAGAAUAAGGACCGGCUAACUCCGUGCCAGCAGCCGCGGUAAUACGGAGGGUCCGAGCGUUAUCCGGAAUUAUUGGGUUUAAAGGGUCCGUAGGCGGAUGAUUAAGUCAGGGGUGAAAGUUUGCAGCUCAACUGUAAAAUUGCCUUUGAUACUGGUCAUCUUGAGUUGUAUUGAAGUAGGCGGAAUAUGUAGUGUAGCGGUGAAAUGCAUAGAUAUUACAUAGAACACCAAUUGCGAAGGCAGCUUACUAAGUACUAACUGACGCUGAUGGACGAAAGCGUGGGUAGCGAACAGGAUUAGAUACCCUGGUAGUCCACGCC